rnacentral:lncRNA from 10 species
GUUACCUUUCAUUUUCUCAGCUUGUUCAUUCAGGCGGAUUUCAAGAUCUUGCUUCUGUUUCUCCAAUUCUGAAAUUUGCUGUUUAAAGUCUGGGAUCAUCUUUAGAGAAGAAUUAGAAAUAUUAGAAUAUAAAAUACUUUUAUCUAUGAACUUUAAAAUCUUAGAAGCAAACUGAACUAUCUUGGUGUUCAGCCUGCAGAACAGAUAGCUGUGUAAAAGAGCUAGCCACGACAUUAGACUGGAUUAACAUUUUUUUUUAACCUCAAAACCUAUAUAGUCUCAGGAAACACCAGUAUGCUCAGAGGAAGCAGUUCUCACACAGCUACGACAGGGAGAGAAGGAUGUGUACAUGUAUAGAAAUCCUAUGCUGAGUUGAGGGAGGAAUUAGGUGAAGAAAUGGCAGCCAGCGUCUUUGGUCCAAGCCCAGAGCCAUCGUCUCCUCAUCUAGGAACAGGAAAAGCCAUCUCAAAGGGUCCCACUGCUACUUUUGAAUUCAAGGACAUGCACUGCUCUGUUAGUGGAGGUCUGGAAUCACCCGGGCCCAGUUUUCUAGCUUCACAGUCUCCAGCUAAAUAACUCACCAGCUAUCCAAUCAACCAACUAACCAAUCUUCCAGGUAUUCAACCAACUAGCUAUUCAACCUAUCAACUAAGCAAUCUACCAUAUGUCCAACCAAAUUCAUACCAAAGGACACGUUUCCUUAGCAGCGACACAGCUAUGAUAAAUUCAGUCUGCACCCAUGGACUAAGAGACUCAUAUUUUUAUUACCUCUCAUUUCCCGUUUUUG